UGUGGGGUGGCUCAGUGGAGCACAUGUCUAUCAUGCACGAGGCCCUGGGUUCCAUCCCCAGCUCUGCGA
rnacentral:tRNA from 1 species